rnacentral:rRNA from 1 species
AUGGACCAGCAGGGGGCGGCGCCGUCCAGCAGCACCAGCACCAGCACCAACAGCAGCCGCAGCACGUCGGACCAUCCCCACCACGCGUCGGCCGCCGCGCACCACCACCCCUUCUACUACGCUGCCGCGGCGGCUACAGGCGCCACGCCGCCGCCGCCGUUCAUGGGCUCGCUCGCGAUGGUGCCCGCGGCUACCCCGGCGGGAGGGCAGACGGCCAACCACAGCCAGUCGAUAACGGUGGCCGAGCCGCCGUCAGAGAAGAAGGUGGCAAAGCGGCCGACCAAGGACCGGCACACCAAGGUGGAUGGGCGCGGGCGGAGGAUACGGAUGCCGGCGCUGUGCGCGGCGCGGGUGUUCCAGCUCACGCGGGAGCUCGGCCACAAGACCGACGGCGAGACCGUCGAGUGGCUUCUGCAGCAGGCCGAGCCCGCUAUCGUCGCCGCCACCGGCACCGGCACCGUCCCCGCCAACUUCUCCACCCUCGCCGCCUCCCUGCGCCCCGGCGCCUCCUCCCGUGUCGCGCCCUUCCAGCACCACCUUCAGCACCAGCCGCAGCACGACGUGGCUGCCAUGCUCGGGUUCCAUGGCCACCAUCAGCACCAGCUGCUCCCCCCGCCGCCGCAGCAGCAGCACCACCACCAGCACCCGGAGGCGCCGCAAGAUCCUGGCGCCGGGGAGUUCAUGAGGAAGCGGUAUAGGGAGGCGGACGACCUGUUCAAGGACACCGGACGCCAUCAAGACCCGGAGGACGGCGGCGAGCCCGCGCAGAAGUCCAGGCCGGCGCCGCCACCCACUGCUGUUUCGGGGGCAAUGUGGGCCGUGGCGCCGAACAGCGGCGCAGGCGGCGGCGGCGCCUUCUGGAUGCAGCCGGCAUGGGCCUUCGGCGCCGGGAACACGGUGCAGGCGCCGCUGCAGUUCAUUUCAAGAAGCAGCUUUCCCGGCGGGAUGGGCGACACGAAUCUCGGCAUGCUCGCGGGCCUCAACUCCUGCGGCCGCUCCACCGGCGGCGAGCAGCAGCACCAGCAGCAGCCGCAGCAGGAGGAGGAGGAAGGGCAGCCUCCCGAGAUGGAUCAGCACCGCCGGGGCAGCACCAGCGCCGGCGCGAACGGCCAUGACGCCGGCCAUUCCGCCGCAAGCCCGCAGUAA